AUGGUUCACAAUUUUCCUUUGCAGAAGAAUAUGAAGAAGCGAGGGGGGACAGCAUGCUGUCGUCAAAACCUUUCAGGCUUUUUCUUCUUCCCCACCCCGAGUCCCUUCAGCUGCCGUCUCUGGGAGCACCAAGGGUGGGGGGAGGGCUCUCCGCCUGUGUCCUCAAGCACGUGGUGGCUCUGGUGGCAGCAGCUGGCCCCUGCCACUCAGCGGGAGGCCAGCCUUCAGGGGAAGGGGCCUCCUGGUCUGCCGACUGCUCACCGCCUCUCCCCUGUCCCUCCGUCCCUCCGUGCCCCUCAGGAGAUCCCCUGCGAGCUCACGCUGGAUGCCCUGCUGGAGAUGAACGAGGCCAAGGUCAAGGACACGCUGCGGCGCUGCGGGGCCAGCGCCGAGGAGUGCGGCCGCCUGCAGUACGCCCUCACCUGCCUGCGGAAGGUGCCGGGCCUGGUCUCAGCUUGUGUCCCUGCAUCCUCAAGAGAGUCCUGGCCACAUUGCAGUCCCAGGCAGAGGCCUUUCGUCUGCCCAGCAGUGGUCGCACUUCAUGGGUACCUGCUGCGGACUAGGUGGGCAGCAGUGACCCCCAUCUGUCGGGUCAUGUAGUCAGAGCAUCUUUUUUGCAACCCAGCAAGGCCAGGUGAGGGUGUUCUGCUCACAGCAAAGAUGGGCUGUGCAGUCAGACUGCCUGGGCCAGCACUCUGCUCAGCCACUUUAACCUGUGACACCUUGGCCACUUCCUUCAUCUCACUGUGCCUCAGUUUCCUCAUCUGCAAAACGGAGGUAAUAGCACCACCUCUCUCUAAGGGUUGUAGCGAGGAUGAAAUGAGUUAAGGUAAAGUGCUUAGACCAGAACCUGGCACAUAUUAGAUGCUCUUUUCAAUAUUAGGCCCGUGGGGUGAUGGAAAAUGUUGACGUCACUUCCUUGUGGUCCCUGGUCUUAAGGAAGGUGAGUGGAGGAGGUUCCCUGUGCUGCUGAAUAGGGGCCGAUCAUUCCUGCCGAUCCCCGUCUUUCACUGUAGCAGACAUCACUAGUCAAUCCACGAAGAGCGACUCCAGAUUCAUUCACAAGCACCCCCGUGCAGGUUGACUGGGGUCGGCACCCACAUCAAGACCCAUCUGCCAUCCCUGUGUUGGCCCAAAGCCAUGGUGAUUAAAUAGACAAUGUGAAGACUUGGGGGGGGGUGUUUCCUUGGGUGGCAGACUUGCUCACAGAUUCAUGAAAUUCAUUCUUUCAUCCACUCACUAAGAAACAUGUUCAGUGCCUCCAGCAGGCCAGUGUGUAAGCUACAGUGUAAGUCGAGGCUGCAGUUCCAAAGCAGCAAGUAGCAUAGGAGCACAGAGACUGAGCACCUCGUCCUGCCCCGUUGAUCCAUGGAUAGAAAGUCACCAUGCAGUGACAGGGAAGGGAUUGGAAAAGGGGGUGGAUGUACAGAAGAGCCUUACGAAUUGUGAAGGCUAAACCCUCCCCACCACCCCUGGUAAAUGGCCCCACCACCUUUGAGGACAGAGAGCUUGUUACUCCCAGUGCUGUUCCACUGUGGGUCAUUCAAAGUCGCCGGCAUUGCGGGAGGGGGCAUGUGCUGAAAUUGAGGUUUUCAAUUCCCAUCCCACCGCUGUCUCAGUCCCGUGGCCUCUCUGAGUCUCAGCAACCUCCGCUGAACACCAGGGAGAAGAACGGGCCUGGCGGGAGGGUGGAGGGAGGCGGGGUAUGUGUGCAUGUAACGUGGAGGCUCCUUUUGUCUUGAGUCAAAAUCUGCCUUCCUGCACUGUCCACUCACUGGUAGAUAGGAGAGGAGGGGGAUGUCUUCUCCUUCCCCAUGACAGCCUCUUGGGUCUCUUCGGAUGGAGUCCCUUCUCCCUGCCCUCAACCCUUCUGUGUCUGAAGUCCCUGAUGAGACAUUCCAGGCCCUUCCUGAGUGGCCCCAGCUGGGGUGACCCCUCUGACUUCAUCUCUUGCCUCCCCCUGGCUUUUCCAACCGUCAUCAGCAGGUGUCACGUGCUCUCCUACUGUGCAUGUGCUGUCCCCUCUGCCUGGAGUACCUUCUGCACCUUCUUCCUGAGCUGGUCAGCCCAGGCACCACCUCCUUGGGGAAGCCUUCCCUGGCCAGCCCCCACUCCUCCACAGAGCCCCCUUGUGUCUCUGUCCUGGGACACAGCAUGCUCUUGUGUGUCUGUCACUCCCAUCGGACUCUUCAAGUACAGG
ensembl:lincRNA